CGACGCCGCGUGAGGGAUGAAGGUCCUCGGAUCGUAAACCUCUGAAUCGACGACGAAAGACACUUCGGUGGGAUGACGGUAGUCGAGUAAUAGCACCGGCUAACUCCGUGCCAGCAGCCGCGGUAAUAACGGAGGGUGCAAGCGUUACCCGGAAUCACUGGGCGUAAAGGGCGUGUAGGCGGACCGUUAAGUCUGACUUUAAAGACCGCCGCUCAACGGCGGGCGUGGGUUGGAUACUGGUGGUCUGGACCUCUGGAGAGAGAACCGGAAUUCCUGGUGUAGCGGU
rnacentral:rRNA from 1 species